AAGGCUUUAGCUUAAUUAAAGUGUCUGCUUUGCAUGCAGAAGAUGUGGGAUAAUACCCUGCAAGUCUUA
rnacentral:tRNA from 1 species